AGCGGAUUAGCGGCGGACGGGUGGGUAACACGUGAGUAACCUGCCUUAGACAUUGGGAUAGCCUCGGGAAACCGGGAUUAAUACCAAAUAAAAUCAUAAUGACACAUGUCAUAACGAUCAAAACUCCGGUGGUCUAAGAUGGACUCGCGUCCCAUUAGCUAGUUGGUAGAGUAAAAGCCUACCAAGGCGACGAUGGGUAGCCGGCCUGAGAGGGUGAACGGCCACAUUGGAACUGAGAAACGGUCCAA
rnacentral:rRNA from 1 species